rnacentral:rRNA from 1 species
GAUGAACGCUAGCGGCAGGCCUAAUACAUGCAAGUCGAACGGUGUAGCAAUACACAGUGGCGCACGGGUGCGUAACACGUAUGCAACCUACCUUACAUUGGGGGAUAGCCUUUCGAAAGGGAGAUUAAUACCGCAUAAGACAGUAACUAGGCAUCUAGUAGCUGUUAAAGAUUUAUCGAUGUAAGCUGGGCAUGCGUCCAAUUAGGUAGUUGACGAGGUAAUGGCUCACCAAGACGAUGAUUGGUAGGGGAACUGAGAGGUCAAUCCCCCACACGGGGCCUGAGUUACGGGCCAGACUCCGACGGGAGGCAGCAGUAGGGAAUAUUGGGCAAUGGGCGCAAGCCUGACCCAGCCAUGCCGCGUGCAGGAAGAAGGCGUUAUGCGUUGUAAACUGCUUUUAUACAGGAAGAAACGACCCUUGCGAGGGGCAUUGACGGUACUGUAUGAAUAAGCACCGGCUAACUCCGUGCCAGCCGCCGCCGUAAUAC